rnacentral:rRNA from 1 species
GAUCCGUAGCUGGUCUGAGAGGACGAUCAGCCACACUGGAACUGAGACACGGUCCAGACUCCUACGGGAGGCAGCAGUGGGGAAUUUUGGACAAUGGGCGCAAGCCUGAUCCAGCCAUGCCGCGUGAGUGAAGAAGGCCUUCGGGUUGUAAAGCUCUUUCGGUGAAGACGAAACGGUUAGCGCUAAUAACGCUGACUAAUGACGGUACUCACAGAAGAAGCACCGGCUAACUACGUGCCAGCAGCCGCGGUAAUACGUAGGGUGCAGGCGUUAAUCGGAAUUACUGGGCGUAAAGCGUGCGCAGGCGGUUUGCUAAGACAGGUGUGAAAUCCCCGAGCUUAACUUGGGAAUUGCGCUUGUAACUGGCAAGCUAGAGUGUGGCAGAGGGGGGUGGAAUUCCACGUGUAGCAGUGAAAUGCGUAGAUAUGUGGAGGAACACCGAUGGCGAAGGCAGCCCCCUGGGUUAACACUGACGCUCAUGCACGAAAGCGUGGGGAGCAAACAGGAUUAGAUACCCUGGUAGUCCACGCCCUAAACUAUGUCAACUAGUUGUCGGGGAAGAAAUUCCUUGGUAACGAAGCUAACGCGUGAAGUUGACCGCCUGGGGAGUACGGCCGCAAGGUUAAAACUCAAAGGAAUUGACGGGGACCCGCACAAGCGGUGGAUUAUGUGGAUUAAUUCGAUGCAACGCGAAAAACCUUACCUACCCUUGACAUGCUAGGAAGCCCGCAGAGAUGUGGGUGUGCCCGAAAGGGAACCUAGACACAGGUGCUGCAUGGCUGUCGUCAGCUCGUGUCGUGAGAUGUUGGGUUAAGUCCCGCAACGAGCGCAACCCUUGCCAUUAGUUGCUACAUUCAGUUGGGCACUCUAAUGGGACCGCCGGUGACAAACCGGAGGAAGGUGGGGAUGACGUCAAGUCCUCAUGGCCCUUAUGGGUAGGGCUUCACACGUAAUACAAUGGUCGGUACAGAGGGCUGCCAACCCGCAAGGGGGAGCUAAUCCCAGAAAGCCGAUCGUAGUCCGGAUUGUAGUCUGCAACUCGACUGCAUGAAGCCGGAAUCGCUAGUAAUCGCGGAUCAGCAUGUCGCGGUGAAUACGUUCCCGGGUCUUGUACACACCGCCCGUCACACCAUGGGAGUGGGUUCCACCAGAAGUAGUUAGCCUAACCGCAAGGAGGGCGAUUACCACGGUGAGAUUCAUGACUGGGGUGAAGUCGUAACAAGGUA